CCGAUGAUAGAAUGUGUAUGACCGUAUGAGUAUAUGAAGUGAUAAUAAGAGCAUGACAAUGUGAUUAUAUUUUGGCGAUCUUGUAAUUUUGACCUAGGGUUCUAAUUUGGAUAUUUGUGGUAUUCUAUUUUGUCUCUGUUUCCUUUUCGCCUCUCUAUAUUUUUGAAGAUCUAAAGUUCCCUUACCUCGGAUUUUGGAAAUAGUAGGAUAAAAGAAAAUAGUGAAAGUGUCUUGAGUAUUAUGAUGUUAGUGGUGUUAGUUCUUCAGCAUCGGGAAGGAUUUGGCAACAAACAUAUUCACGAGAUCGAAAAUUCACCAGAAGAUAACUGAGAUUAAGAGGAAGAGAGAUGGAAGUGAUGUCAUGGGUAUUUGUCGUGGUAUUUCUGUAUGAUGAUACAAUGCAGUUGGCUCUAAAGUAUGAAUCCAUUUUAUUGUUCUGCUUCAUUUCAAUAACAUCUUUCGCGAUACUCUUUGCGCCUACUAAUGUCAAAUGUUUUUUGAACCAUCAAUAACAAUGUUGUAGGAUGGAAUCCACAGUCAUUACAUUGUCUAAGAUAAAACACAGCUGAAAUCAAACAUCAACUCGUUUUGUAUGACUUCUUGGAUGAUAAUGAGAAAGCUGUAUGGCCACUUUUCC